UCUACAGCCUAUGACGGGUAGCUGGCCUGAGAGGUGAACAGCCAGAAGGGCACUUAGACACGGGCCCUACUCCUACGGGAGGCAGCAGUGAGGAAUAUUGCACAAUGGGCGAAAGCCUGAUGCAGCGACGCCGCGUGGAGGAUGACGGUCUUCGGAUUGUAAACUCCUGCAAAUAGCACCGGCUAACUACGUGCAGCAGCCGCGGA
rnacentral:rRNA from 1 species